UUGAUGGGGAAUAACGCUGGGAAACCGGCGCUAAUACCGCAUAAGCCCGAGAGGGGAAAGUCGCAAGACGUCGAAAGAGAAGCCCGCGGUCGAUUAGCUAGUUGGUGAGGUAAUGGCUCACCAAGGCCACGAUCGAUAGCCGGCCUGAGAGGGCACACGGCCACACUGGCACUGAAACACGGGCCAGACUCCUACGGGAGGCAGCAGUGGGGAAUCUUGCACAAUGGGGGAAACCCUGAUGCAGCGACGCCGCGUGAGCGAUGAAGCCCUUCGGGGUGUAAAGCUCUUUCGGCAGGGACGAUUAUGACGGUACCUGCGGAAGAAGCUGCGGCUAACUACGUGCCAGCAGCCGCGGUAAUACGUAGGCAGCAAGCGUUGUUCGGAAUUACUGGGCGUAAAGAGUGUGUAGGCGGUGUUGUAAGUUCGGUGUGAAAUCUCCCGGCUUAACUGGGAGGGUGCGCCGAAAACUGCGAUGCUCGAGGUUGGGAGAGGAAAGCGGAAUUCCUGGUGUAGCGGUGAAAUGCGUAGAUAUCAGGAGGAACACCUGUGGUGUAGACGGCUUUCUGGACCACACCUGACGCUGAGACACGAAAGCGUGGGUAGCAAACAGGAUUAGAUACCCUGGUAGUCCACGCCCUAAACGAUGCAUACUUGGUGUGAGCCAUUCAUUUGGUUCGUGCCGGAGCUAACGCGUUAAGUAUG
rnacentral:rRNA from 1 species